AAUAAUUUGAUCUAAAGAUAUUGAGGUUCUAAACUACCUUAAGAUUUAGUUUAGGAUUUAGGAUUUGUUUAGGAUUUGGUUUACGAUUAAAGGUUUGAUUAGGAUUCGAUUUAGGAUUUAAGAUUUGAUUAAAGGUUUGAUUAGGAUUCGAUUUAGGAUUUAAGAUUUGAUUAAGAUUUUAUUUAGGAUUUAAGAUUUGAUUAGGAUUUGAUUUAGGAUUUAGGAUUUGGUUAGGAUUUGAUUAGGAUUUGAUUUAAGAUUUAAGAUUUGAUUAGGAUUUAAUAUUUGAUUAAGAUUUGAUUUAAGAUUUAAGAUUUGCUUAGGAUUUGAUUUAAGAUUUGUUUAAGGUCUGAUUUAGGAUUUAGGAUUUGGUUGAAAUUUGAUUUAAAGUUUAAGGUUUAAGAUUUGGUUAGGAUUUGGUUUAGGAUUUAAAAUUUUAUUAGCAUUUGAUUGAAUUCUAUUAGGAU
rnacentral:lncRNA from 1 species